GCAGUAGGUUGAUGUAGUGAUUCCAUAGGCCAGCGGUUUUCUAGUGUUUUUAUACUAACAAGAAUGGAGUGUUUGUCUAAGUCAGGAUUAGAGAAGUUUAUAAGAUUCGAGCAGGGCAUGCCUAGGACAUCUCUGAGAGCGAGACGCAUAGGAAAACCUGGGUUGGACUCUCUCUGGUCCUUUCCUUGCAGAGCAAAGCCCGUCCGCACCUUUGGAAACGCCGUCGCCUGAACCGGCAUGGAUUUCGAUGGCAAAACUCAAACGGAGAGGCUUCCAGGGCCUCCCUCUCGUCCAAGGACAGAAAAGAGGCGAGAAAACUUUGGCCAAAGCAGAACAAGCCGAGGAGGAGAAGCACACUGGACUUUCACCGCAGGAAAAGCACUUGAAUCUUCCUGUAUUGAAAAACAGCAUCCCGCUCCAUGUCCUUGAGACGAAAGCACAGCCAAAGAGGACCACGUCGGCUCCAAAAGCAAAGCCCAUCAGAGCGUCUUCUCGGGAGGCCCAUCCGACGGAGAAGGAACCACGUCCGUUGCCGAGCCUGCCGCUCUCUUCUUGCGGAAGCCCUUCGGAGCCGCCGUGGCUUUCUCUGGCCAAGCAGAAGGCCAAAGCCUGGAGCGAGAUGCCCCAGAUUGUGCAGUAGCCGCGCCGGAGACUCUUUGCCCACCGGCCGCGUUAACAAGGCCUGAUAAUGUCUUCGCUUGGGAACGAGGAGCCACCUUCUCAUGUGUGGUCAUGCCAAAAAGUAUUUUGGAGACAUGUUUAACUCAAGCUAACCAUUGGCGUCCGUACGCUGAACGCUUUCUCUGGGAGGGAAUCGAUGCUUCAGGAAUGGUCACCCAAGGUCAGAGAUCCCACCAAGAAGAACAUUGAAGGGUUUCUCCUUCCAAAGAUUGUAUUUUCAAGGCAAGUUGGGCAGUAUUUCCACAGCACAAUGCUCCAAGAAUGGUCAGAGAUCCCACCAGGAAGGUUCUUGAAGGUUUUCUCCUUACAAAUGUUGUCUUUUUCAAGGCAACUUGGGCAGUAUUUCCAUAGCAAAAUGCUCCAGGAAUGGUCACUGAAGGUCAGAGAUCCCACCAAGAAGGAUAGUGAGGAUUUUUUCCUUCCAAAUAUUGUCUUUUUCAAGGCAACUUGGGCAGUAUUUCCAUAGCAAAAUGCUCCAGGAAUGGUCACUAAAGGUCAGAGAUCCCACCAGGAAGGUUCUUGAAGGUUUUCUCCUUACAAAUAUUGUCUUUUCAAGGCAACUUGGGCAGUAUUUCCAUAGCAAAAUGCUCCAGGAAUGGUCACUGAAGGUCAGAGAUCCCACCAAGAAGGAUAGUGAGGAUUUUUUCCUUCCAAAUAUUGUCUUUUUCAAGGCAACUUGGGCAGUAUUUCCAUAGCAAAAUGCUCCAGGAAUGGUCACAAAGGGUCAGAGAUCCCACCAAGAAGAAUAUUGAAGGUUUACUCCUUCCAAAGAUUGUCUUUUCAAGGCAAGUUGGGCGGGAUUUCUGCAGCAAAAUCCUCCAAGAAUGGUUACAGAAGGUCAGAGAUCCCACCAAGAAGGAUCAUGAAGAUUUUCUCCUUCCAAAUAUUGUCUUUUUCAAAGCAACUUGGGCAGUAUUUCCAUAGCAAAAUGCUCCAGGAAUGGUCACCGAAGGUCAGAGAUCCCACCAAGAAAGAUCUUGAGUCUUUUCUCUUUCCAAAGACUGUCUUUCAAAGGUAACACGGGCAGUAUUUCAGCAGCAAAAUGCUUCAGGAAUGGUCACCGAACAGAUGUCUUUUGGUGGAUCUCCAAAGUCUUCCAACUUGGCACUGGAAUUGGAGACGUCUCCGCUUUUUAUCUGGACGUUUUGCUCCGUUCUCGAGAAGCUAGGACUGAAAUGAGACUAACCUGAGACUAACCUCACCCUCACUGAUACUAAAUUUCCUUCGUAUCGGUGAGUUUGGUCUGUUAACUACUAAACCCCAAGGACACCAAAAACAGAGUCAGUUCCUGUUUAUUUGUUUGUUUGCUUUUCGUGUUCCUCCUCCAAUGUAUGUACAUACGGUUUUGUAAUCCUUGUAUUUUUUCCUCCUUUUUUUAGUUCAUUAUUAAAUACUGGUUAUUAUAAGAGACAUCUGGCGUGUUACAUUGGCGAUGGGAGUUUCUAGGUAAAUAUUAAAAAUAUUUAGUGUUCAUACUAAUGGCUGUAUGAAAUAUCAGGAGACCUUUGUUCUGAAUCUAUGAAGCAAAUAGCAAAUGACGUUGCCGGACUUUUUCUUGCCGGCAGAGGGAGAUAGAGCUCUUCUUAAGGGACAUGAAUGGAUGGAGAUAGGGUGACCAUUUAUUAUUAUUAUUAUUAUUAUUAUUAUUAUUAUUAUUACUAUUAUUAUUAUUAUUAUUACAGAAGAGUCUCACUUAUCCGACACUUGCUUAUCCAACGUUCUGGAUUAUCCAAUGCAUUUUUGUAGUCAAUGUUUUCAAUACAUCGUGAUCUUUUGUUUGCUAAAUUCGUAAAUACAGUAAUUACUACAUAGCAUUACUGCCUAUUGAACUACCUUUUCUAUCAAAUUUGUUGUAUAACAUGUUUUGAUGCUUAAUUUGUAAAAUCAUAACCUAAUUUGAUGUGUAAUAGGCUUUUCCUUAAUCCCUCCUUAUUAUCCAACAUAUUCGCUUAUCCAACAUUCUGCCAGCCCGUUUAGAUUGGAUAAGUGGGACUCUACUGUAGUAGCAACAAUAAUAGAGAAAAAUAAUAAAUGUAACAAUACCAAUAAUAAUAGAGAAAAUAAUAAAUAUAAUAAUGCCAAUAAUAAUAGAGAAAAAUAAUAAAUGUAAUAAUACCAACAAUAAUAGAUAAAAUAAUAAAUAUAAUAAUGCCAAUAAUAAUAGAGAAAAAUAAUAAAUGUAAUAAUGCCAAUAAUAAUAGAGAAAAAUAAUAAAUGUAAUAAUGCCAAUAAUAAUAGAGAAAAAUAAUAAAUGUAACAAUACCAAUAAUAAUAGAGAAAAAUAAUAAAUGUAAUAAUGCCAAUAAUAAUAGAGAAAAAUAAUAAAUGUAAUAAUGCCAAUAAUAAUAGAGAAAAAUAAUAAAUGUAAUAAUGCCAAU
rnacentral:lncRNA from 11 species